rnacentral:tRNA from 1 species
GUCCUCGUGGUGUAGUGGUAACACGGCUUGCCCUUACGUAUGGCCAGCCGCCGCGGGUUCGAUCCCCGCCGAGGCCACCU